AACCGCCGUAUACCGGUCGGUACGUACGGUGGUGUGAGAGGACUUAGUCACCCCCUCCUACUCGAU
rnacentral:autocatalytically_spliced_intron from 1 species